GACGAACGCUGGCGGCGUGCCUAAUACAUGCAAGUCGAACGCAGUGGGGACGGGUGAGUAACACGUGGGUAACCUCCCAUCAGAGGGGAUAACACUUGGAAACAGGUGCUAAACCGAUACUGAUGGAUGGACCCGCGGUGGGUUAGCUAGUUGGUGCGGUAACGGCUCACCAAGGCCACGAUGCAUAGACGAUCUGAGAGGGUGAUCGGCCACACUGGGACUGAGACACGGCCCAGACUCCUACGGGAGGCAGCAGUAGGGAAUCGUCGGCAAUGGGCGCAAGUCUGACCGAGCAACGCCGCGUGAGUGAAGAAGGUCUUCGGAUCGUAAAGCUCUGUUGUUAGGGAAGCGUUAUCUAACCAGAAAGCCACGGCUAACUACGUGCCAGCCGCCGCGGUAAUUC
rnacentral:rRNA from 1 species